rnacentral:rRNA from 1 species
GAUGAACGCUGGCGGCGUGCCUAAUACAUGCAAGUCGAGCGAAUGGAUUAAGAGCUUGCUCUUAUGAAGUUAGCGGCGGACGGGUGAGUAACACGUGGGUAACCUGCCCAUAAGACUGGGAUAACUCCGGGAAACCGGGGCUAAUACCGGAUAACAUUUUGAACCGCAUGGUUCGAAAUUGAAAGGCGGCUUCGGCUGUCACUUACGGAUGGACCCGCGUCGCAUUAGCUAGUUGGUGAGGUAACGGCUCACCAAGGCAACGCUGCGUAGCCGAACGGAGAGGGGGAUCGGCCAAACUGGGACUGAGCAACGGCCCAGACUCCUACGGGAGGCAGCAGUAGGGAAUCUUCCGAAAUGGACGAAAGUCUGACGGAGCAACGCCGCGUGAGUGAUGAAGGCUUUCGGGUCGUAAAACUCUGUUGUUAGGGAAGAACAAGUGCUAGUUGAAUAAGCUGGCACCUUGGCGGUACCUAACCAGAAAGCCACGGCUAACUACGUGCCAGCCGCCGCGGUAA